AGUGGGGAAUAUUGCACAAUGGAGGAAACUCUGAUGCAGCAACGCCGCGUGGAGGAUGACACAUUUCGGUGCGUAAACUCCUUUUAUAUGAGAAGAUAAUGACGGUAUCAUAUGAAUAAGCACCGGCUAACUCCGUGCCAGCAGCCGCGGUAAUACGGGGGGUGCAAGCGUUACUCGGAAUCACUGGGCGUAAAGAGAAUGUAGGCUGGUUAUUAAGUUGGAAGUGAAAUCCUAUGGCUCAACCAUAGAACUGCUUCCAAAACUGAUUACCUAGAAUAUGGGAGAGGUAGAUGGAAUUUCUGGUGUAGGGGUAAAAUCCGUAGAGAUCAGAAGGAAUACCGAUUGCGAAGGCGAUCUACUGGAACAUUAUUGACGCUGAGAUUCGAAAGCGUGGGGAGCAAACAGGAUUAGAUACCCUGGUAGUCCACGCCCUAAACGAUGCACACUAGUUGUUGCAAGGCUCGACCUUGCAGUAAUGCAGUUAACACAGUAAGUGUGCCGCCUGGGGAGUACGGUCGCAAGAUUAAAACUCAAAGGAAUAGACGGGGACCCGCACAAGCGGUGGAGCAUGUGGUUUAAUUCGACGAUACGCGAAGAACCUUACCUGGCCUUGACAUAGUAAGAACUUUUUAGAGAUAAAUUGGUGCUAGUUUACUAGAACUUACAUACAGGUGCUGCACGGCUGUCGUCAGCUCGUGUCGUGAGAUGUUGGGUUAAGUCCCGCAACGAGCGCAACCCUCGUGUUUAGUUACUAACAGUUAGGCUGAGGACUCUAAACAGACUGCCUGGGUAACCAGGAGGAAGGUGAGGACGACGUCAAGUCAUCAUGGCCCUUACGGCCAGGGCUACACACGUGCUACAAUGGGGUAUACAAAGAGCCGCGAUACCGUGAGGUGGAGCAAAUCUCAUAAAAUAUCUCCCAGUUCGGAUUGAAGUCUGCAACUCGACUUCAUGAAGUUGGAAUCGCUAGUAAUCGUAAAUCAGCAAUGUUACGGUGAAUACGU
rnacentral:rRNA from 1 species